rnacentral:rRNA from 1 species
GAGUUUGAUCAUGGCUCAGGAUGAACGCUAGCGGCAGGCUUAAUACAUGCAAGUCGAGGGGCAGCAGCUUUAUAGCAAUAUAGAGGCUGGCGACCGGCAAACGGGUGCGGAACACGUACACAACCUUCCUUGAAUAGGGGGAUAGCCCAUAGAAAUGUGGAUUAAUACCCCGUAAUAUAGCGGUGUGGCAUCACACUGUUAUUAUAGUUUCGGCGAUUCGAGAUGGGUGUGCGGCUGAUUAGGUAGUUGGCGGGGUAAAGGCCCACCAAGCCUUCGAUCAGUAGCUGAUGUGAGAGCAUGAUCAGCCACACGGGCACUGAGACACGGGCCCGACUCCUACGGGAGGCAGCAGUAAGGAAUAUUGGUCAAUGGACGCAAGUCUGAACCAGCCAUGCCGCGUGAAGGAUGAAGGUCCUCUGGAUUGUAAACUUCUUUUAUAGGGGGCGAAAAGAGGUCUUUCUAGAUCACUUGACAGUACCCUAUGAAUAAGCACCGGCUAACUCCGUGCCAGCAGCCGCGGUAAUACGGAGGGUGCAAGCGUUAUCCGGAUUCACUGGGUUUAAAGGGUGCGUAGGCGGGUAGGUAAGUCAGAGGUGAAAUCCUGGAGCUUAACUCCAGAACUGCCUUUGAUACUAUCUAUCUUGAAUAUGGUGGAGGUAAGCGGAAUAUGUCAUGUAGCGGUGAAAUGCAUAGAUAUGACAUAGAACACCUAUUGCGAAGGCAGCUUACUACGCCUAUAUUGACGCUGAGGCACGAAAGCGUGGGGAUCAAACAGGAUWAGAUACCCUGGUAGUCCACGCCCUAAACGAUGAUUACUCGAACGUAUGCGAUACACAGUAUGSCGUCUGAGCGAAAGCAUUAAGUAAUCYACYUGGGAAGKACGAACGGCARCGUUGAAACUMAGGGAAUUGGSCGGGGGU